UAAGGAAUAUUGGUCAAUGGAGGCAACUCUGAACCAGCCAUGCCGCGUGAAGGAUUAAGGCCCUCUGGGUUGUAAACUUCUUUUAUAUGGGAAGAAAUGUUCUGAUUCCUCAGAGCUUGACGGUACCAUAGGAAUAAGCACCGGCUAACUCCGUGCCAGCAGCCGCGGUAAUACGGAGGGUGCAAGCGUUAUCCGGAUUCACUGGGUUUAAAGGGUGCGUAGGCGGACUAAUAAGUCAGUGGUGAAAGCCUGCAGCUUAACUGCAGAAUUGCCAUUGAUACUGUUAGUCUUGAGUACAGUUGAGGUAGGCGGAAUGUGUCAUGUAGCGGUGAAAUGCUUAGAUAUGACACAGAACACCGACUGCGAAGGCAGCUUGCUAAGCUGUAACUGACGCUGAGGCACGAAAGCGUGGGGAGCAAACA
rnacentral:rRNA from 1 species